rnacentral:rRNA from 1 species
CACCGGCAGCCCAAGUGGUGGCCAUUUUUAUUGGGCCUAAAGCGUUCGUAGCCGGCCUGAUAAGUCUCUGGUGAAAUCCCGCAGCUUAACUGUGGGAAUUGCUGGAGAUACUAUCAGGCUUGAGGUCGGGAGAGGUUAGAGGUACUCCCAGGGUAGGGGUGAAAUCCUAUAAUCCUGGGAGGACCACCUGUGGCGAAGGCGUCUAACUGGAACGAACCUGACGGUGAGUAACGAAAGCCGGGGGCGCGAACCGGAGUAGAUACCCGGGUAGUCCUGGCCGUAAACGAUGUGGACUUGGUGUUGGGAUGGCCUCGAGCUGCCCCAGUGCCGAAGGGAAGCUGUUAAGUCCACCGCCUGGGAAGUACGGUCGCAAGACUGAAACUUAAAGGAAUUGACGGGG